GGCUUGUUGGCUCAGCUGGUAGAGCACUGCACCGUUAUUGCAGAGGUCAUGGGUUUGAAUCUCGUACAAGCCU